AACGAACGCUGGCGGCAUGCCUAACACAUGCAAGUCGAACGAGACCUUCGGGUCUAGUGGCGCACGGGUGCGUAACGCGUGGGAACCUGCCCUUAGGUUCGGAAUAACUCCCCGAAAGGGGUGCUAAUACCGGAUAAUGUCUUCGGACCAAAGAUUUAUCGCCUUUGGAUGGGCCCGCGUUGGAUUAGCUAGUUGGUAGGGUAAAAGCCUACCAAGGCGACGAUCCAUAGCUGGUUUGAGAGGAUGAUCAGCCACACUGGGACUGAGACACGGCCCAGACUCCUACGGGAGGGAGCAGUGGGGAAUAUUGGACAAUGGGCGAAAGCCUGAUCCAGCAAUGCCGCGUGAGUGAUGAAGGCCGUAGGGUUGUAAAGCUCUUUUACCCGGGAUGAUAAUGACAGUACCGGGAGAAUAAGCUCCGGCUAACUCCGUG
rnacentral:rRNA from 1 species